ACUUUAUUAUUUCUUGAUGUCUACUAUCGAAAAAAAAAAGCCUCGAUAUGGAAGAAGCGAUGCAGGUUGUCAGAUUUCAUAAUCGACAUGUUCUAUGACAUUUCAUAGAUACCUGUACUUUGAUAUUGGCAUUGUUAAUUAAGAAAUGUUCAUUUCACCAAACAGUGAGCCAAGGGUAAGAAGAAGAAAAACGUCAAGUAUGUAUUGUAUCGUUUACAAUAUUUAUGAGGAAUAAAAGAUCGUUUGGGAUGAAUUAGUGCCUGUUUUCGAGUGAAAAGCAACAGUGUUAACUGUAUAUAUGAAGUGCGAAGUGUUUCUUGGAAGGAAAAUCAAGAUUCAAGUCUUGCCGACCAAGCCCUGGCAGAAAAUUUCCUGGAUAUAGGCUGACCAGAUGAUGGUUUCUACAAAAAAAGGAAUACUACCUAUUUUCUCGUACGAGAGGCAUGUAAAUCUUGGGGAGUUUCCAAUGAAUAAUGGAUUCAUUCUCGGUUACGAGCAAGGUGGUUUUUUGAAGCUUUGCAUCGUGCGGGCUCUGGAAACGCAUGCAUUCCAGGAUUUAGGUGCAGGAUGGAUCCAGUAUCCGGGGAAAUUAUCCAGAACAGCAGUGAAUUACGAUUGUCUGUGGCUACCUCUAGUGCUCGAGGAA